UCUCCGUUGGUGAACCAGCGGAGGGAUCAUUAUCGAGUUAUUCAACUCCCAAACCCUAUGUGAACUUACCACUUGUUGCUUCGGCGCGCGCUUCGGCGCCGCCGAGGACACUUAAACUCUUUGUUUUUAUAAGCAUUUCUGAGUGGCCGAAAGGCAAAAUACAAAUGAAUCAAAACUUUCAACAACGGAUCUCUUGGUUCUG
rnacentral:misc_RNA from 1 species